rnacentral:lncRNA from 1 species
UCUCACUCUUAUAAAAUUAAUCCAAGGUUUAUAAAGUUUUAACCACAACUCAAAAUCAAAUAUUAUUCCACCCUAAUCUAUUAACAAACACAUAAAUAAUAAAAACCAUACACAACAUUUACCAAAUAAUAAUCCAUAAACAAAAUAAAAUCAAGGUGUCAUGAUUUAAGGGCUCAAAAGUUCAACCUUUCAAGGUGGCUUGUCUAGGUUUGAAGCUGUUAGAAUUAGGUGGAGCAAUGGUGGUGCGCGACAGUGCAUAUACAUCUUUGUCGGUCAUGUAAAAGGCAUGUGGAGGAGCUCGCUCUACCUGUCUUCUCUGUUUUUUUUCCUUUCUAGAUUGAUAGUGAUAAUCAUUUUGUUCAUCAUGGGAGAUUUAGAGCUUCAAAGUUCUCGUCUUCUUGUUAUUUUUUUCUUUCUUUUUCUAUUUUAGCUCUCUCAGACUGCCUCUCUUCACUGAGGUGUAGCAGUUGCUAGCAUCGACUAUUGGAGGAGGAGCUUGUAUGGUGGCCGCCACUAUCUCUAGUGAUGCUUAGUGGAUGAGAGAAGAUGACAGUGUUGUUAUGGAAGAUAAUAAGGAGAUGGGGAGAGAUAUGGAGAUUAUAUUCAUUUUUCUUCCUACUUCUUUAGAGAGAGAUACAUUUUUGUUACUUGAUUUUUGGAAGAAAGAGUGACUAGUUUUAUUUUUUAUUUUGAUGGAAUUAGGGAGAGUGAUAAGUUCAUUUUGCUUUUGGGGAGAGAGGAAUGGUUUUUUGGUGUUUUGGAGAGAGGGACCAACUUUUGUUUUUUUUGUUUGUUUGUUUUGAAUGAGAGAAUGUGUGUGUGUUGGAAAGUGUUAUAGAGACUCGCAAGUUUUUGUGAUUUUUUGGUCAGUUUUCUCUUUCACUUUGUGUACAAG